rnacentral:rRNA from 1 species
CGGGGUAAGUAACGCGUGGGUAACCUGCCUUAUACAGGGGGAUAACAGUCAGAAAUGGCUGCUAAUACCGCAUAAGCGCACAGAGCUGCAUGGCUCAGUGUGAAAAACUCCGGUGGUAUAAGAUGGACCCGCGUUGGAUUAGCUAGUUGGUGGGGUAACGGCCCACCAAGGCGACGAUCCAUAGCCGGCCUGAGAGGGUGAACGGCCACAUUGGGACUGAGACACGGCCCAG